rnacentral:rRNA from 1 species
AGAGUUUGAUCCUGGCUCAGAACGAACGCUGGCGGCAUGCCUAAAACAUGCAAGUCGAACGGUGGUUUCCAGCUUGCUGGGGGCCAUAGUGGCGCACGGGUGAGGAGCGCGUGGGAACCUGCCUUUUGGUACGGAAUAGCUUCGGGAAACUGGGGAUAAUACCGUAUGGUACCGUCAGCUGUGGAGGUUGAUGGUUAAAGAUUUAUCGCCAAAAGAGGGGCCCGCGUCGGAUUAGCUAGUUGGUUGGGUAAUGGCUGACCAAGGCGAUGAUCCGUAGCUGGUCUGAGAGGAUGAUCAGCCACACUGGGACUGAGACACGGCCCAGACUCCUACGGGAGGCAGCAGUAGGGAAUAUUGGACAAUGGGGGCAACCCUGAUCCAGCAAUGCCGCGUGAGUGAUGAAGGCCUUAGGGUUGUAAAGCUCUUUCGCACGCGACGAU